AUCAUAUGGGCUUUUUAUCAUAAUGGGUCCGUAUAGAUUACGUGGAAACCCUAGAGAUUAUAAGGGAGGGAAAACCCUAAGUUAGGUUUGUGCCUUAGCAUAACUAAUCGUCAUCUUUCAGCUCCUCGAUUCGCUCCUCCGUCCAAGUCAACAUGGCGCCGAAGAAGGACAAGGUCCCGCCGCCGUCAUCCAAGCCAGCCAAAUCUGGAGGUGGAAAACAAAAGAAGAAGAAGUGGAGCAAGGGAAAGCAAAAGGAGAAGGUGAACAACAUGGUGUUGUUUGAUCAGGCUACUUACGACAAGCUUCUCACUGAAGCUCCCAAGUUCAAGCUCAUCACUCCUUCCAUUCUCUCCGACCGUAUGAGGAUUAACGGAUCUCUAGCAAGGAGGGCGAUUAGGGAGCUGAUGGCGAAAGGUGUGAUCAGGAUGGUUGCUGCUCACUCUAGCCAGCAGAUCUACACUCGUGCCACCAACACUUGAAAAAUAUGUCUUUUUUGCAAGUUUGCAACCAUCAUAUUUCCCGCCAUUAAAACAUUGUUAUUUGUACUCUCAGAAAUGGCUGAGUUCCAGUUCCAGAUUUGAGGUAUCGAGAGAAGCUUUUGGGGGAAACAAAAGGAAAGUAAACAACAAUUUGCCAUUGAGAUGGAUGGUUGAGAGAAGAACCGAUCAGUGUAUCUUCUUUAUUCACUGCAGCCUCAUAUUUCUCAUCCUACAUAUAUGUAAACACAAUAAUGUGAGACGUUCAUUAUAAAAUCUCUACAGGUGUGUCUUAAACUAAGAUUAUCAGAACUUUGGUAGCUUUCUUUUGGCAUGUUUUGCUAUAUAAACUUCACGUUUAGGGCAAUAAAUACCUCUUUUCUUCCUGAAAUUGCCUGCCAUUGGUUUUGUAGUUUGGGAAUGGGACAUGACCGGUCUCUAUGCUGUUGAUAUCUUGCACAAGGAGUUCAUAGUGUCUUUUUACCUCUUCUGUUGUUUUUCCACCAACAACUUGGGCAACAUUGUGCCAACGGUUAGGAGUAUCCUGGUCAUAGGUUGCUAGAGCCUGCUCAAAGGCUUUGUUCUGCUUAGCUGUCCACGAACCAGAGCUUUGAGAAGACACUGAGCUUGAUGCCAUUGUGAUGAGAGAUUUUGUUUUUUUAUGGAUGGGAUGAUUGCAAGUCAAGAGGAGGAUGAUAUGUGUACUUAUUUGUUCCAUAAGGCUUCCUCUUUAUAAAGAAGAAGAUGUAAGGUGACUUUGGGUAGUGCCAGUUGUUAAAACAAUAUAUCUUGUCAAAGUUGAAGAUAAUUUAAAGUCCAUGUCUCCAUAGGAAUCGCCUAGCGAACAGUAAAAGAGAAUAUCAGCCUAUAUUGGUGGAGAUCAGUAUCUAAAAGAUCCGAACAAAUCACUUAUAAUACUUUGGUUAUAAGCUCUUUUUCCUUAUUACAUUUUGAGUUUGAAGCUAGGCAGGAAGAUUUGCUGUACGUGAUUACUUAUCUACCAUGCCAAGUCAGUUAGAGAUGAGCUAUGUUCUAGAUUAAGGUUAGGGAAGUUAGUAAAUUAUAUGUCAAUAUUCAUCUACUUUGUGGAAAAAUCUGUCCUCAGGGGAAAAUUCUCUGUUAGUUCUUUGACUAGAACAGUAAAAAUAAAUUGCAGAUAAACUGGAUCACAUUAAUUGGCUAUUAAGAUUUCUUAUCAAUGGGACAAGCUAGCAAAAGGUUCUUCUGAAUUAUAAAGUCUUUGCAGGAAAUGAAGUUGGGGGAUCAAACUUUAUUGUUGAUUGCCAACUAUGAUUGUAUUUGGCCAUUUAUUUCAAGCUACAUCAAAUCAAAUAUGAUGUGAAAAAGGGUCAACUCUACCUUGGAAGUUUGCCAACUAUGCUUUUUGUUUGGUCAUUCAUUUGCAUAUUUGGUCUUCAGUUGGUUAAACAGUUACUUUUCUUGGUGGAUUUUGAAAGCUUGUGUUGCAUUUACUGUUAAUGACUUUUACCUGUAACUUCUUUGUAUCACUCUUCUUGGAGAUACUUGCAUUCGUGCUACUCCUAGUUAUAGAUAUUUCUCCUGGUUGUGAUAGCUGAAUAGAUUAGAGCAUAAAACUUACGUUACAAGAAAGAAAAGUUCAAACCAGGUAAAUGAAUCUUAAUCAUGAGGCUGGUUGGGCGCAUAAUAUAUUCCAGAGAUGUAUAUAGGGUGCAAGUUGCUUACGGGAUUCUCACUGCAAGUAGUCCAUUCACAGUGUAUAUAUUAUAUUCUCAUCGUCUUUUCUUUUUCUUUGCCUUAGGGCAAGAGGUGCUAAAAAUGGUAGUAAUUACACAGAUAUCCCCACGUACAGUACUUAAGGUUGAGCUUUGGGGGAACAUCUGAAUGAAUUGGUUGUUACUCAACAUGGGAGGGAUACUCUGCAUCUUUACUUUGGUGAUAUAUGAAAAGUUACAUAUUGAGUAAAGAUCUGUUGGAUUUUAUUCCAUAUAUUGGGCUUCCAUUCUUCUUAUAUAUGAAGAUAACAAGGCCAUACUUGAAACACGUUGCCCCUAGACAGUGUAAACUAUCAUCACAGUAGCUUUCCAAGAAUAUGUAGGGAAUAAAAAAAGAAAGGGAAGGGUAAGCAUUUUCUUGCAAAGACCAAGUGUUAUAUACUUGUAUUAUAUUCCUCACCAAGUGGUUGGUCCUUCUGCAACUUGACAAACGAAUCCUUAUGUAAGCUCAAUUAGAAGCAGAAACCUACUUUGUUUCGAUAUCUUUGAUCAUAAGAAGUUGGCAAAUGGAGAAUCUCCACACUCUUUUAAAUUUUGUGAACAAACAGAGUUACUUUUUUUUCAGACAAAGUAAACUAGAACUCUGUUCAACCACUGCACAUAAUGUUUCAAGUCGCAAAGAUAUGACCAUACAUCUUCAAAAUUACGUGAUUCUGUUAAUAGUUAUGUUAAGAUAAUUUCACGGAGAAAGUCUGUUCACAUUUUGCCAUCAAUACAUAUGGGUACUUUCACUUGGCUGAUUUGGAGAAAAUAUUGGCCAAUUUGUUACUUCAAAAUUUAUUAUAUUCAAUACUGAAAACAACCUUUUUGGGAAUUUUGAAAUCUUUUAUUUCCAUUUCAAAUAAUCGAAGAUAUCUUCUUUACUUGAUGUCGACAUUGAAAGAAAAGUAUAAUUAUAAAAACGGAAAGAGAAUAUUCGGAGUAUAUCAGUGUCUUUUUAGCUUAUAUUCUUAAUCAAAAACGAAGAGAUAAGAUCUGGUCUAAAUCUAAAACAACUCAUAUCAUCUAAUCAAUCUUUUAAACGCAAUAAUGAUAGCAUCUUAAAUCAAAAGAUAUAAGGUAGGGAGUGGGGAAUAUUAACACACUAAUAAUUCAAAAACAUAGGCUGAAAUAUAUAAAUGAGUUCAUAAUAGCUGAUCGGGCGACGAACGAGUAUAAUGCGACGGUGAAAAAAAAAGAAAUCAAGAGAAGCUUAUAAUUUAGAGAACAAGAUGCGAUUUAACAUUUCGUUUCAGGCAAGCAAGACUUUAACGAUCCGUUAAAACAAAAAAGUAAACAAGAAAUCCAGAACCAAACCAAACCGGAGAAACAUUCAUACGGAAGCAAGUCUAAACCGAAAACAGAGCACCA